rnacentral:rRNA from 1 species
UACGGAGGAUCCGAGCGUUAUCCGGAUUUAUUGGGUUUAAAGGGUGCGCAGGCGGAAGAUUAAGUCGGUGGUGAAAUUUUGCAGCUCAACUGUAAAAGUGCCUUCGAAACUGGUUUCCUUGAGUGUAGAUGAAGUAGGCGGAAUUUGUGGUGUAGCGGUGAAAUGCAUAGAUAUCACGAGGAACUCCGAUUGCGAAGGCAGCUUACUAAGCUACUACUGACGCUCAGGCACGAAGGCGUGGGGAUCAAACAGGAUUAGAUACCCGCGUAGU